rnacentral:rRNA from 1 species
AACCCAAGUUAACAUAAUACGGCGUAGAGUGUGUUUAGGCCUCAUAAUAAAUAAAGUUCAAACUUAACUAAACUGUAAUACGCUCUAGUUAAUACUAAAAUAUACAAUUAAAAUGACUUUACUAAUGCUGAGACACGACAGCUAAGACACAAACUGGGAUUAGAUACCCCACUAUGCUUAGCCGUAAACUUAGAUAGUUUAAAAACAAAACUAUUCGCCAGAGAACUACUAGCUAUCGCUUAAAACUCAAAGGACUUGGCGGUGCCCUAAACCCACCUAGAGGAGCCUGUUCUAUAAUCGAUAAACCCCGAUAAACCCGACCCUGUCUUGCCAAUA